rnacentral:rRNA from 1 species
CAGCAGCCGCGGUAAUACGUAGGGUGCAAGCGUUAAUCGGAAUUACUGGGCGUAAAGCGUGCGCAGGCGGUUCUAUAAGACAGAUGUGAAAUCCCCGGGCUCAACCCGGGAACUGCAUUUGUGACUGUAGAGCUGGAGUGCGGCAGAGGGGGAUGGAAUUCCGCGUGUAGCAGUGAAUGCGUAGAUAUGCGGAGGAACACCGAUGGCGAAGGCAAUCCCCUGGGCCUGCACUGACGCUCAUGCACGAGAGCGUGGGGAGCAAACAGGAUUAGAUACCCGAGUAGUCCCUGUCUCUUAUACA